AAAAACAUGUCUUUUUGUUGUUGAUUUAAGGUCGGGCCUGCCCAAUGAUUUUUAAAUGGCCGCAGUAUUUUGACUGUGCAAAGGUAGCAUAAUCAUUAGUUUCUUAAUUAGGAGCUGGAAUGAAAGGUUUGAUGAAAGACUAACUGUCUCUGAUUUAUUGAUAUAAUUUUAUUUUUGAGUAAGAAAGCUUAAAUUUUAUAGAAAGACGAGAAGACCCUAUAGAGUUUCAUAUUGUUUUAUCGUUGUAUUUAUUAGGAUUCUUAUUUUUCAAUGAUUUUCUGUAUUUUGUUGGGGUGACAGUAAAAUUUAAAUAACUUUUUAUUAUUUAAGUGCUUAUUUGCAGGUUGAUGAUCCUUUAUUUUGGAUUAUAAGAUUAAAUUACCUUAGGGAUAACAGCGUUAUUUUUCCUGAAAGUUCUUAUUGAUGGGAAAGUUUGCGACCUCGAUGUUGGAUUAAAAUUUACUUUUGGUGUAGAAGCUAAUAAGUUAGGUCUGUUCGACCUUUAAAAUUUUACAUGAUCU
rnacentral:rRNA from 1 species